CCUGACCUCAGGUUAUCUGCCCGCCUCGGCCUCCCAAAAUGCUGGGAUUACAGGCGUCGACUUUUUUAACCCCUUUCACAGCACAUAAAGGUCUGAUUACACCGAAGACCCAGGAAACAGGAUUCUCUCAUCUGGAUUUCCUUGAGGUGUACAGGGCUAGAAGGGAGUAGUCUAUUGAAACAUCAUUGCAGAUCCAGUUAGAGCCAAGGUUCUCAUAUUUAAAUAUCUGGAGAGCCAAGACCAGAAUUGACCAGCAGAGGGCAACCAACAACUAUGUUGUGAAGGGAAGAAGGCUCCAUGGUUUACAAAAUGGAGGAUCUGGACCAAGAAGGGAAAUAUGGCAGAGGUAGUUUGCUACUUGAAGUUCAUCCCUUUUACUCUCAAAUGCUUCUCUUGUAACUUUUGUGGGUGAGAGGCCGAGGCUUCAAACCUUCAUAUACAAUAGAUCAUUUUAAAUUUCUACCAUCCCCAUGUACCCACCCCAUCUCCCCAAUUCCUUCACCCUUCCUCUUCCACUCCAACAAAUCCUAACUAUUCUUUUACCUUUCUUUACCUUGCAUGAUCUGGCCCCCUCUCUCUCACCAUUCUUACAUAUUUACAUAUCACCCACUGGCAUUCUUUAGUUCCUGCUACAGUAUGUGGCCUUCCAUAUUUUCCCUGAAGUAACCUUCUCCACUUAAGCCUGUAGUCCCACUCAUUUAAACCUCCUAAGGAACCUUCCAUAAAUAUCCUUCCAUAACACCUUAAAAUUCCUCUACUCCACUGGAUCAAUCCUUCAUGAAUUCAGUACAAACAAAACCCCACCUUCAUUUGACACUUUCAAAUUUCCACAUUGUUUUCUACUUCCUUUUAUUUUUCGAAUAAAAUGUAUACCUUUCUGCCUCCAGUUCCAUACUAUCAGAUACCCCGUCAUCUGGUUUCUGCCUCCUGAAGUGUUUUGGUUUUUUUUUCUUUUUUA
rnacentral:lncRNA from 1 species